rnacentral:rRNA from 1 species
AGGACGAACGCUGGCGGCGUGCUUAACACAUGCAAGUCGAACGAAGUCCAUCCGGUAGCAAUACCGGUGAAGGCUUAGUGGCGAACGGGUGAGUAACACGUGAGCAACCUGCCCCGAAGACCGGGAUAACAGCGGGAAACCGCUGCUAAUACCGGAUGUCCCCACCGGACCGCAUGGUCUGGUGAGGAAAGCCUUUACGCUUCGGGAGGGACUCGCGGCCUAUCAGCUUGUUGGUGAGGUAACGGCCACCAAGGCGACGGCGGGUAGCUGGUCUGAGAGGACGAUCAGCCACACUGGGACUGAGACACGGCCCAGACUCCUACGGGAGGCAGCAGUGGGGAAUCUUGCGCAAUGGGCGAAAGCCUGACGCAGCAACGCCGCGUGCGGGAUGAAGGCCUUCGGGUUGUAAACCGCUUUCAAGCAGGGACGAUAAUGACGGUACCUGCAGAAGAAGCUCCGGCCAACUACGUGCCAGCAGCCGC